UUAAAUUGAAGAGUUUGAUCAUGGCUCAGAUUGAACGCUGGCGGCAGGCCUAACACAUGCAAGUCGAACGGUAACAGGAAUCAGCUUGCUGAUUCGCUGACGAGUGGCGGACGGGUGAGUAAUGUCUGGGAAACUGCCCGAUGGAGGGGGAUAACUACUGGAAACGGUAGCUAAUACCGCAUAACGUCGCAAGACCAAAGAGGGGGACCUUCGGGCCUCUUGCCAUCGGAUGUGCCCAGAUGGGAUUAGCUAGUAGGUGGGGUAACGGCUCACCUAGGCGACGAUCCCUAGCUGGUCUGAGAGGAUGACCAGCCACACUGGAACUGAGACACGGUCCAGACUCCUACGGGAGGCAGCAGUGGGGAAUAUUGCACAAUGGGCGCAAGCCUGAUGCAGCCAUGCCGCGUGUAUGAAGAAGGCCUCCGGGUUGUAAAGU
rnacentral:rRNA from 1 species